rnacentral:rRNA from 1 species
CUACGGGGCGCACCAGUGAGGAAUAUUGCACAAUGGGGGGAACCCUGAUGCAGCAACGCCGCGUGGAGGAUGACGCAUUUCGGUGUGUAAACUCCUUUUAUAUGUCAAGAAAAUGACGGUAGCAUAUGAAUAAGCACCGGCUAACUCCGUGCCAGCAGCCGCGGUAAUACGGAGGGUGCAAGCGUUACUCGGAAUCACUGGGCGUAAAGGACGCGUAGGCGGGUUGGAAAGUCAGGUGUGAAAUCCUACAGCUUAACUGUAGAACUGCACUUGAAACUUCUAAUCUAGAGUAUGGGAGGGGGAGAUGGAAUUAGUGGUGUAGGGGUAAAAUCCGUAGAUAUCACUAGGAAUACCUAAAGCGAAGGCGAUCUCCUGGAACAUUACUGACGCUAAGGCGUGAAAGCGUGGGGAGCAAACAGGAUUAGAUACCCUAGUAGUC